rnacentral:lncRNA from 1 species
UCUGAAACUUAGCAAAUAUACAUAUAUAAUUAAUCAAUUAAAUGAAGGUGUGGUAACUGAGACGUUCAUCAAGGAUGGACAGAAACAUACUGUGAGAAUGUGAAUACUGCUGUUUUUCUGAUGCACUGACAUGAGAAUACUUGUGAUGCUAAUUUGACUUCAGGAAAUGGAAUUAAAGGGAGAGGCCUGAACUUGUUAUCUUUUCAACUUCUCCUCCCACACUUUGUUGUGAUGUGUGUGGAGCCAAAGCUUUUAGGUUGAGUGCAAUCAUGUGUUGCAGAGUAUGGAUCCUGCUUCUCUCUCAUCCUCACCAGAAUGUGGUUCCCUUGCUUGCAUCAUGUUCCCACCACAGCCUUUUUCCUCUUCCUUUUUAAAAACUGCAUCAAAAUGAUAACUAAAAAGAUCAAAGUCCUUUUAAGCUCCUUUUUCUCAUAACUUGGGGGACUUAGUUUCAACUAUGCAUUUAUUUCCACACAAAACUCCUUUUUGAAGGAGAACUCCAACUAGUUCGGGGAUUGAGGAAGGGGGGGAGAAGAGCCACACUCUCAAAUGAGCCACAGCCCCAGGAUCACCCUCUUUUUAAGUUAUCUGGUUGUAAACAAGAGGUCCCUUCAAAAUACACUUUCAACCACACCCCUUAAUCACAACAACCCCCCCCCCUUGCCCCUCUUGCAUGAUAAACCAUGGCAUUUGAGUGGGUGGAAUUUACAGAUUUAUUUUAUUUCAUUUUUAAUUUUUGUAGCUCUCAUGCUAACUGUUAGGUAUUUGACUUUGCCUUUGCAACAUGCAUAGGAAUGCUUUGGUAGCCUCUCUAUUGUCCAAGAGAAGAAGAAGUCUCAGUGAUUCCAAUUUUGUAAUGCAUAUCAAGGAUUGGUAGCAAUGAAGGGAGUGUGAGAGAGAGACAGAGCCACAUGAAACCAUUCCAAAUGCAAUGCUAGCUCUUGGUGAAAGGGUGGUGGCAUUGCCAUCUUGGAACCCAUCACCACUGGAAAGCCUUCGAAGGAAAUGACAAAAGAAGGAAAGUAAGGGAAAAAAGGAAAAACGGAAGCACUGCAGAGGAAAAUGCAGAUAAGUGAAAAAGUAUUCUUAAGAAAAAAAGUCACAGCUAACUUUCUGAAGUGCUAUUGUCUGAUUUCAUGGUUUUUCCAAAAUAAUUCAAUCUGAUGAGAAUGGAAAGAGAUUUUGGCUGCAUGACACACCCAUUCAUACAUGUGAUUCAUUUUUAUUAUUUUUUUGAAAGAAAACUGCUAGAUUUUUUUAUUAUUAUUAUUGUUUUUAUGUGAAAACAUGUUGAAUGGUGGAUGUUUACGAUUGUGGUAUGUCUAUUUUCAGGGUGACGUCCAAAAUAGUAACUGACCUUAAAUUCAGGAGAAAAGUGUUGGCCAAUUUUUUUGUUCAUAUAUUGAUAUAGAUGAUUGAAUAAUUGAAACUAUGUGUAGUAUAGUUGUUGCUAAAUCAAGACAUACACUAUGAAAUUUAAUCAAAAAUUAAUACAAGGUAAUAAUUCAAGAAGUUUUGCUUUUAAGAAAUUAAGCAGUCUUUGUACAUUAGGAGACAAGAUGAGAGGUUGCAACUCUUCAU